UGGGGAAUUUUGGACAAUGGGCGAAAGCCUGAUCCAGCAAUGCCGCGUGUGUGAAGAAGGCCUUCGGGUUGUAAAGCACUUUUGUCCGGAAAGAAAUCCUUGGCUCUAAUACAGUCGGGGGAUGACGGUACCGGAAGAAUAAGCACCGGCUAACUACGUGCCAGCAGCCGCGGUAAUACGCAGGGUGCAAGCGUUAAUCGGAAUUACUGGGCGUAAAGCGUGCGCAGGCGGUUUGCUAAGACCGAUGUGAAAUCCCCGGGCUCAACCUGGGAACUGCAUUGGUGACUGGCAGGCUAGAGUAUGGCAGAGGGGGGUAGAAUUCCACGUGUAGCAGUGAAAUGCGUAGAGAUGUGGAGGAAUACCGAUGGCGAAGGCAGCCCCCUGGGCCAAUACUGACGCUCAUGCACGAAAGCGUGGGGAGCAAACAGGAUUAGAUACCCUGGUAGUCCACGCCCUAAACGAUGUCAACUAGUUGUUGGGGAUUCAUUUCCUUAGUAACGUAGCUAACGCGUGAAGUUGACCGCCUGGGGAGUACGGUCGCAAGAUU
rnacentral:rRNA from 1 species